rnacentral:rRNA from 1 species
CAAAAACAUCGCCUCUUGAAUAAUCAUAAGAGGUCCAGCCUGCCCAGUGACUAAUGUUCAACGGCCGCGGUAUCCUAACCGUGCGAAGGUAGCGUAAUCACUUGUUCUUUAAAUGGGGACUAGUAUGAAUGGCACCACGAGGGUUAUACUGUCUCCUUUUUCUGAUCAGUGAAACUAAUCUCCCCGUGAAGAAGCGGGGAUAUAACUAUAAGACGAGAAGACCCUAUGGAGCUUUAAAUCUCUUUUCAAACGCUAAAACACUUAUACAAGUAUUAAACUUACCCUUACACUUAUCCAAGCGCCAUGAAAAUGAUUUUAGGUUGGGGUGACCGCGGAGCACAAAAAAACCUCCACGCUGAAUUAGGCGUCCAAACCUUGAGCCAAGAGCUACGACCCAACGCACUAAAAAAUUAACAUCAAUUGACCCAAUACUCACUUGAUCAACGAACCAAGUUACCCUAGGGAUAACAGCGCAAUCCAUUUCAAGAGUCCAUAUCGACAAAUGGGUUUACGACCUCGAUGUUGGAUCAGGGUCUCCCAGUGGUGCAGCCGCUACUAAUGGUUCGUUUGUUCAACGAUUAAAACCCU